UACGUAGGGAGCAAGCGUUGUCCGGAAUCAUUGGGCGUAAAGCGCGCGUAGGUGGCCACAUAAGUCCGUUGUGAAAGUCAAAGGCUCAACCUUUGAAAGCCGAUGGAUACUGUGUGGCUAGAGUACGGAAGAGGCGAGUGGAAUUCCUGGUGUAGCGGUGGAAUGCGUAGAGAUGUGGAGGAACACCGAUGGCGAAGGCAGCCUCCUGGGAUGACACUGACGCUCAUACACGAAAGCGUGGGGAGCAAACAGG
rnacentral:rRNA from 1 species